UGGGGAAUAUUGCACAAUGGGCGCAAGCCUGAUGCAGCAAUGCCGCGUGAGUGAAGACGGCCUUAGGGUUGUAAAACUCUUUCGCUAGGGAAGAUAAUGACGGUACCUAGUAAAGAAGUCCCGGCUAACUCCGUGCCAGCAGCCGCGGUAAUACGGAGGGGACUAGCGUUGUUCGGAAUUACUGGGCGUAAAGAGUUCGUAGGCGGCUUGAUAAGUCAAAGGUGAAAUCCCUCGGCUCAACCGGGGAACUGCCUUUGAAACUGUCUGGCUAGAGUUCGGGAGAGGGUAGGGGUAAUUCCUAGUGUAGCGGUGAAAUGCGUAGAUAUCAGGAGGAACACCAGUGGCGAAGGCGCCUACCUGGCACCGAUACUGACGCUGAGGUGCGAAAGCGUGGGGAGCAAA
rnacentral:rRNA from 1 species